UCCACCUCUGCUUGAAGAUCGUGUGAAACCCUAUUAUCAGUUUUGUCAGCAGGAAAUCGGAAAAAAAAAGCUUAAAUCACAUAUAGAUACUAGAUUAGUAACCCAUAUAACCUAAUAUUAGCGGCAGUCUUAACUUCAAAAUUUUAGUUUUCCUCUUAUCUAUCUUAAACCGCAUAACCAGUUCACCCUAAAACCGCAUAUGAGACCUAAUUUCUGAUGCUCGUUUGUGGUUCUCGCCAUAAGGGUGAAGUGAUAGAUGUUUCAUUAUCAAAUUAACUCACCAUCAUAUCCGAUUUGAACUAGGGGUUAACAGCUCUCAUCCAACCAUCUUCUUGGUUCGUAUUAACAAAUUUCGGCAACAUCUCUGUUUUGCAGGUUACCAUCAGAUUGGACCUGGAUCUGGUACAAACAAACAUCUUAGAGAGGAUGCAGAAAUUGCUAUGCAAGGAUUCAUCAAUUUUGCUCAAUAUACAUCUAGUAUACAUCUGUAAGUUGCUAGCUGUUAAUAUUUUUAUUUGUAACCAGGUCAUCCAACUACUAGUUUUUUUAGUUUUAGCCUUUAAGUUUGAUUCUUCAAGUUCUUAAGCACACAAAUUCUAUUGAGCAUAAAAAUAUGUGAGAUAUACCUGGCAGAAUGGGUGGGUCAGGUUGGGCGCAGUGAUGGGUCAGAAUUGGUUCGUGUCAGAACAUGUCUUUUUUAUAAAAAGCUCAUUUUGGUUCGGGUCAGAAUUAGUUUUGAUACCAAUUGAUACAAUUCAGAAUGGGUCAAUUCUAAUCUACAACAUAUUUUAUACUUUCGAUCCCUAUCGUCCCAGCUAACUAUAUUUCCUUUAUGUUCUAAACUUCUUUUAGUUAAGUUUUUUACGUAGUAGCAUAUUUAGGGAAUCACAUUGUAAUGUGAAUGUGAAAUCUUAGCAGCGCAGGUUUUUGAUAAAAUGUCAGCGUUUGAACUCACCUAAAAAUUAAGCGCUAAAUCAUUCAAAAUCCAAGAGAAAUCACCAGAAAGAAUUACUAAAAAUUUAGAAGAAGAAUUAAAUAAGCCGUAUAACUAGGGGUCUGCACGGGCGAUGUGGGAACAUCAGCAUGGUAAGGCUUCAGAUCUUUUAAAAAGCACAAGAAAGGGGGACAAUACUCCAUAAAUUUAUGGCCAUUUUACUUUGGGGUAUGAUGACAAGUGGAGUUUUGAGAAGAUGAUCAGAUUGAAUUAACAACUUUACUUGGAUUACUUUGUUAUUUUGAAGUUGGAAAUAUAUGUCAAAGUACAACAUAAGAUAUUUAUUACAUUUAUGUUAUUGUGCUGGUGUAAUUGAGAUACUAUUCCAUAUUAAUAAAAAUUUUAGUACGUCAAA